rnacentral:lncRNA from 1 species
AGGAAGCUCCGGGCGGGAGAGCCGCGUCCACUCCUCUUUCCAGACUAUGAUGGGGCCCAGGGACCCCUCCCCUCCGACUGAGCCCCAUAGACCCCCUACUCAGGCCAGAAGGGGAAAGCUGAGCUCCUGCUGGCCCAGGCAUCAGAAUUCCUGGAGGAAAAGUUGCCUAUCUGUUGGGUCAGAUUUCUGAAGACUGAUGAGGCCCAUUUUCUGGCUGGAGUGAAAUGACAUGAUCUCAGCUCACUGAAACUUCUGCCUCCCAGGUUCAAGCAAUUCUCCUGCCUCAGCCUCGCGAGUAGCUGGGAUUACAGAUAUCCUUCGAGUUGGAUUUCGACUGGGUUCUGCCAGUGGGAUGUAUCCAUGCGAGAUUCUGGAACUAACAUCAGAGAGAGUCCAAGCUUCUAACUUUUAUCAGCGGCAGUGACAAUAGUCAAGCAGCAUUGAUGACAAACGGCAAGAGUUUAGAAAGUACCAGUGACGUGCCUGAUAGAAUCUCACCACAAGAUGGAAGCCAACUCGUCAGAAGCCUGGAAAGCCCACCCAGCGUGGGACCUCUGUGGGUCCAGGAUCUUGGAAUGGUAUCCCAUGGUUCAAUCUUCUGGAUUCAACCACAUAAAUUUACCCCACCCAUGUCGUGGACCCAAGCUUCCUACCAUGUAUACUUAGCUUAAAUGCAAGAUAGUACUAUUUUGUUCAUCUUGAUUGGAGUGAGAAAUGAAUAGGUCCAUGCACAUAUAUUUCUUUUACCACAACAAGAUGAUGAAGAAAUAAAUCCAUAAUAUCGA